rnacentral:rRNA from 1 species
GUCUUGGCCAUGCCACCCUGAACAAGCCCAAUCCCAUUUGAUCUCAGAAGGUAAGCAGGGUUGGGCCUUUUAGUACUUGGAUGGGAAACCACCUAAGAAGACCAGGUGCUGUAGGCA